AGGGUUAUAGUUAAUUAUAACAUUUAAUUUGCAUUUAAAAAGUAUUGAAACUUCAAUUUACCUUA
rnacentral:tRNA from 1 species